rnacentral:lncRNA from 1 species
AAGUGAUUAUCCUGACUUUCGCUAGCAACUUUCUUUUAUUGUUUUGUAGAAUCUAAAGUUGUUAAAUGUAACGUGAACAAGUAGUAUUACUAAAAGAAGCUUUCAUUUCAAACCCGACUUCCCGAGUCAUUACUUUGAAGUUAGUUAUUUUAUGUUUUGGUGCCGAAACCCGGGACAAGUAUGAGCUGCGACGAAAAUCAUUGGGAUGAAGCGGCUGAAAUUGCUGAGGAGGAACGUCGGCAUGAAGCAAAAAGAAUGAGACGAAAGCGGGGUACCAUUCGAGGUGCCACAACACGGAUUUUGAAUGAGAUUGACGUAGAAAUAACCCAGUCGAAUUCGGAUACCGAUCACUUGAGUACAUUGUUGGAAUUGCUGUCGGCUAAGGAGGACAGCUUGCUUGAACUUGAUCAUGGAAUUGAACAGUUAACGCCUUUAGACGGAUUGGAGGCUGAGAUUACAUGCACGGAGGAUUACAAAAAACGCGUUAUCAUGCUGAAGGGCCGUGCACAACGAGAGAUAAAGAAAAAACAGGACCUCAAUCCACUACCAGCACGGAAGGAGGUUCAGAGUAGGGAGAGAGCGCUACAAAUGACAAGAUCAUGCAACCAACACAAAGAGAGCAAACCAUGGAACAAGUCAUGCUCCUCUAAUGAAAUGAAAACAAAAAGACCCAACAUGCCAUCUGCUGCAGCACUGCACACAGCCAGCCAGAAGGAACAAAACUGUCUAUUCUGCGACAGUGCAGACCACAAAUCAGAAAACUGCCCUGACCACAGUAUUGCUACACGCAAAGAGAGACUAAAGAAAAUGGGAAGAUGCUUUGUAUGUUUAGGACAGAAACACUUAGCAAAAUUCUGUAAAGUCGAAGAUGUGUCAUGUGGAACAUGUGGAAGCAGACAUCACAUUGCUGUGUGUACCGGUAAGAGGAGUGAGGUGCAACCCCCUACUGUUAUUGCAGAUGCUGUUUUUCCUCAGUUAUCCCCCAUUCAGUGAAGAUGAAACCAGAUGGACAGAACACUGUGUUGCUACAAACGGCAAAGGCAUGGGUAGAAGGCCCAUCGGGCAGGAAGAUAGCUCGUUGCUUACUAGAUGGAGGCAGUCAGAAAAGCUUUGUACAUGUGAAGGGCUUGAAGCUACCAGUAAUCAGACAAGAGGCACUCACUCUUCACACGUUUGGCUCCUCUGCUCCAGCAACGUCCCAACGCAACACAGUGAAAGUCAUCUUGGAGAACGUCUGGGACAAACAGCAGAGAAUAGAGAUAGAGGCUAUUGAAAAAGUGUGUACAGCUGUGAUGAAGGUUCCUGGUGAACAGAUUCAACAUGAGCUCAAUAGAAAGGGACUGCAGCUCGCAGACUUUCCAGGAGAUGACAAUGAUCCUGAACUCUCUGUCCUGAUAGGAGCAGACUACUACUGGCAGAUAGUAUCAAGCAGAGUGGAGUGACUGACGGAGACGCUGGUUGCUUUAGAGAACACCUUUGGAUGGUUGGUGCAGGGACCAGUGUCCAUGUCAAGUGUCGCUGAGGCAACAUGCAUGUUCAUCCCACUUGAUGAAGACACACUAAUCUCCAAACAAUUGCAUGCAUUCUGGGAGCUUGAGUCUCUGGGUAUUAUAAGCGAGAAAACACAGAACCCAGAGGAAAAUGAGGCUCUACAGAGGUUCGAGAAAACAACCACCUUCAAAGAUGGACGAUACCAUGUGGAGUUGCGAUGGAAACGAGAAAUGCCAGAACUCCAAGACAACUAUAGAAUUGCCAAGAAACCGUUUGAAGGUCUGAAGAAGGAUGUGACGUUGUACAGCAGAUACAGUGAAGUAGUAGAGGACUACUUACAACAGGAUAUGGCAGAGGACGUGCCCAAAGACAACGUAUCAAGCGCAGACAACGUAAAAUACUACUUACCUCACCUUUCAGUACUUUGAGAAGAUAAAGUGACGACAAAACUGAGAGUGGUCUUUGAUGCCUUUGAUGGCUGUCCAUCCCUCAAUGACUGUCUACUCACAGGACCGAACCUGAAUCCAGAUCUGUUCAGCGUUCUGAUAAGGUUCAGGCUACAUGAGAUCGCAUUCAUGGCAGACAUCAAGAAGGCUUUCCUGCAGAUAUCCCUAGCAGAGAGAGACAGAGAUGCCGUGAGAUUCCUAUGGCUCACAGGCCCACCAAGGGGAGAAAAUGAAGAGGUGCUGCAUGUGCUGAGGAUGAAGAGUGGUAUUUGGAGCUUCCCCAAGUCCAUUCUUCCUGCCAGCUACAAUCAGGAAGCACCUGAAACAAUAUGAAACAGAACAACCAGAAGUUGUGGAGAUAUUGAGAGAGUCACUCUAUGUAGAUGACUUCAUUGCAAGUUCACGCAAUGUUGAAGAGGCUCACCUUGUGACAACAACUGCAAAGCGAAUGCUGUUGAUUACAGGCAUGGACCUCUGCAAGUGGAUUACCAACUCUCCUGAACUGAAAACAAAAUGGGAAGAGAGUAUGACAACUGACCACCCGUUGAUGCUAGAAACACAAGGAGUAGUGCUGAAGGUUUUAAGUUUAGUAUGGAGACCAGGAACAGAUUACUUUGUGUUUGACCUCAGGCCGCUACUGAGCAUUCUAAAGGAAACACAAAGAGAAGGGUUCUGCAGUCGUCUGCACGUAUCUUCGACCUUCUUGGUUUCCUGACCCCCUUCACCAUCAGGAUCAAGUGCAUGUUCCAGGAAAUGUGGGAGAGGGGACGAAGAAUUACCACCUGAUCUGACAUGAGAAUGGCAACAGUGGUGUUCAAAACUACCCCAGUUACACCAGCUCGCCAUACCAAGGUGGUACAGAACAGACAUGCGGCCACAGAACAGCCACUCCCUGAAACUACACGUGUUCUGUGAUGCAAGUAAAAGGGCUUACAGUGCAGUAGCUUACUUGCAAGGUGAAUGACAAGACAGGGAAACAACGACAAGUCUAGUCGCAUCCAACUCCAGGGUAGCCCCAAUCAAGAAAAUGACGCUGCCACGCCUGGAGCUCAUGGGAGCUGUGAUUGGAGCAAGACUAGCAAACAACCUGAUGACCACACUGAAAAUGGAAGAAAAACAGAUCAGAAUGUGGACAGACUCGAUGAUCGUGCUGCAUUGGAUUUGCAGCUCAGCUCAGAAAUGGGAACAGUUUGUCGCGAACAGAGUGACCGAGAUCCAGUCCUUGACAAAUCCAGAGUCAUGGUCACAUAUUGAAGGGAAAACUAAUCCAGCCGACCUCCCUACAAGAGGACAAACUGUUCGAAACUUGACACAGAGCGAGCUAUGGUGGAAUGGACCCAGAAUUCUGACAUCACCCAAUCAGUCCGAGGAGACUGAUAACAAGGUUCGAGAAGAGGUAAACACAGAACUCAAGUCCAGUCGCCAGGUUACUGUACAACUCGCAGCAAACAGCACAGACAGCACUGAACCUGUGUUGGAGCUUGAAAGGUACAGCAAACUGAAAAGAUUUGUCAGAGUCACCGCCUGGAUAAAGAGAUUCAUAGCCAAUGCUCGUACAAACAUAAAGAUGCAAGGUGAACAGACUGCUGAGGAACUGUUCGAUGCAGAAAAGUACUGGAUCAAGGUAACGCAACAACAGAGUUUCGGACAGGAGAUCAAACUACCGAAGGCAGGAAAAGGCCUAAACAAUGACUGUAAAAUCAGAGAACAGAAACCGUUCUUGGACUAACACAAACUACUCAGUGUUGGAAGAAGACUGCAACAGUCCAACUUCACAUUCAGAUAGCAGCACCCAUGGGUUCUGCCCAACAAGUACAGAUACUCAGAAAUGCUGAUACAGUACCACCAUGAGAAGGUGAUGCAUUUUGGAGCAAGAGACACUCUAGUACAAAUCAGAGAGCGAUACUGGAUCUUGCGUGCUAGGCAGCUAGUCAAGAGCACAGUGACAAGAUGUAUAGUGUGCAAGAGAUUCAAGGCAAAGGCCAGACAGCAGGUCACUGCGCCUUUACCAAAAGACCGAAUAACUGAAUCCCCACCA